GCGAACUGCGGUCAGCUGACACGUCCCGGCCAAUCUCCAGCAGACCCUCCUACUUCCUGGACAGCAUCCAUGUGGGAGGGAGGGUCUGCUGGAGAUUGGCCGGGACAUGUCAGCUGACCGG